rnacentral:rRNA from 1 species
UACGUAGGGUGCGAGCGUUAAUCGGAAUUACUGGGCGUAAAGCGUGCGCAGGCGGUUCUCCAAGUCCGUUGUGAAAGCCCCGGGCUCAACCUGGGAAUGGCAGUGGAAACUAGGGGACUGGAAUCUGGCAGAGGGGGAUGGAAUUCCGCGUGUAGCAGUGAAAUGCGUAGAUAUGCGGAGGAACACCGAUGGCGAAGGCAAUCCCCUGGGCCUGUACUGACGCUCAUGCACGAAAGCGUGGGGAGCAAACAGG